ACAUGACAACAGACAAUGUUCUUCACCUCAGCAUGAUUUUCAUAACAGAUGCACGGAUGGAUUUCCCUUCUUGUAAAACUGCAGCUCAGGGAAAGCAAGUCUAUGAGCGACUUAAAUAUAAUUCACAGAGGUUGAAGGAUAAAGUAAGAGGAGAUAAAUGAUAUGGCCUGGAAGAGACAUACACUACUAUGAGACAGAUGCCACCCCCAUUGGUGGUUGUGUAUCACUUCCUGAAUACAUCAUUCUGAUGCAGUACUUGGAAACAGGCUUCAAGGCUGCAAAUCAUAGACUGAGGGACAAAUAGUGCUUCUCUUUGAGGCAAGCUAAUCAUUUGAUGAGCUAAUCAUCUAUAUCUCCAGCACUGUGCACAUUCCUAGUGUCAAAGGAAUAAAAGGAACUUAGAGCUGGAAAGAGGUGACAGCUAACUGGUUUCAUCUACUUUGAUUUGUGUUAUGCAGCAGAAUUUUUGGAUGCCAGAUGUCUAAAACACAGAGGUUAAAAGCAGGUCAGUUUCAACUCAAGACUAUCAUUUUACAGUUUAGUGAAUAUAUUUACAAAUUCCAUAGUAACAAGCCUGUUGACACUGGCACAGUGAAAUUAUUAUCCUCAACAAAUAAUCCAGUACAAAAGUGUUUUCUUCAGACCCUGUGUGCCUAUCAGUCACUGAUGAGAGCCCAGCACCUGACGAUAGGGCUUAUGAAAGUUUGAAGUGGAGGAAGAGGAGCUGUAGCUUGGGGCUCUUGUUAAUGACUCCCGCAUCCUCACUCUGCAGCCAAGCCUGGCAAAGUCCACAAGAAACAGCAGGGCUUAAAUAGCUCACUGCUAGUCCUAGCAGGGUUCUUGUCAGUCAGAUAUAUUCACUGCAUACCUAUUGUGUGCAGAACGUAGCGUUUCACUUGCCAAUUCAGCACUGAGAGGUUGGUUUAGCCCUUUUUAUCUUUAUGACCUGCAGACUGGUAACAGCAUUUCUAGCAGUGUGUUCAUUUUAACAAUAAUUUAUUCCAAUAAAACAAGGUGGAUGUUCCCUAGAUAUGGACACCAUAUGCCCUGAAUUUUCUGGGCUAAUCUUGAUUUCAUGUAAUUUUAUUUUCAUUACAAUAAAGGCAAUUAGUGAAAUACAUAAUGAAAUGUGAUUUCAAUUUUUUUAUAUUAUUCUGAGACUUCAUAUAAUGAAUUGGCAUAUCAGGAAAAAAUAUUUUGCUAGAUUACAUGUAUGGAUUUCUUUGGAAAAUGUGGUUACUGGGUAGGUCAUGGUGAUCCUUAUUUUUACUUCUUGAACAAAAACGAUGCUCUUUCAGGAGGGUGUUCUAGCACCUAUGUAAACCUUUGGCUCCACUGAAGACUUCCCAGCUCUUCCGUUUCCCCUGCAAGGAACAUUAAAGGCUGUAUUCUGAUAUAGCCAUGGAUCUUAACAUCUGUUAAGAAAUUUUGGGUUUCAAGUAAUAGAGACACCAGCUUAAACUGACAUAAAAAUACGGGAGAUUUAUUAGGUCAUAUACUUGAAAAGGUAAGUCAGGGCUGGCUGUAAUUGAGGCUUAACUUGGAAACUCAUAUAAUGUUGUCCAGGACUGGUUUUGUCUCAAGUUUCCCUGUCCUUUGUGUUGACUUCAUCCUCAGAUUCCACACAGGGCCGUGGAUAGCCCUCAGUUACCUUCAGCCUCUCAAAAUGGCCCUAGCAGUUCUAGACCUUUCAUCUUUACUCCUCACUGGCAAGGAAAAGAAAGAUUUCUUUCGGUAGCAUCCAUGAAAGAAGUAAUUUCAGUACCAGAAACCCUAGCAAACCUUUCUUCUGCUUCAUUGGUUCUGCUUGGGUUCUGUGUCUUGUCAUCAACCAAUUAGGUCCCACUUUAAAAUUUGGGGUGAGGUCAAUCAUAUCUAUGCCAUGCCAUGUGAGUAAAAAUGGUUCCUCCAAAACAAAAUUAGGGAGGGGAAGGAUGCUGGAAAGAAUGAAAUAUCAAAUGUCUACUAUAAGUCUCUGGGUUUGUACAUACCGUUAAAACACAAUUUCCUAGAGUAAAAGAGCAAUUUGCAAUGCAAAGCAGUCAAAUCAUAUUAUCUGUACAUGUUGAGUGGUCAGCCAGACUCACACACUGGCUUAAAGGUUUUUUGUUUGUUUGUUUGUUUGUUUUUUGUUUUGUUUUGUUUUUUUUCUGAAGACGAGGCACAUAGUUCAUAAGGUGAAAUUUCAUGCCUGACACAGAGUGUUGCACCCAGGAGAUGGGCAGGUUUACUCAUAUUUAGUCAGAAUUACAAAUAGAUCAAGAAACUCCAGGUCGGCAGAACAAAGAAAUGUAAUAAUAUCAGUAUUUCUCUUAAAAAGCAUGGGAAUUAUGAGGAUUCCAGAGACCUUCAGAUCAUGGAACAAAGAAGAACAUCCUAGAAUUAUGAAGCUAAGGUGAAAUCCUGAAUAUGCUGUCUCCUAAACUUACUCCACUAUAAGAAUUAUCUGGGGGAACUUGUUUAAAACACAGAUGUUCGAGUUCCACCCCAAACUUUCUGAAUCAGUAGCUCCAGGGAAGGGCCUAAUAAUCUGUAUUUUCAAAAGCAAGGAAAUUGGGAAACAUCAAUUUACUCUACAUCUCCCACUCAUCUGUGAAAAUCACAUAAAUUUGUAUUAGAACAGGGAGGAUACUCUUGCAAUUGCCUCAUUUAUUCAUUCAGCAAAUAUUUAUUUUACAUUUAUUCUGUUCUAGAUACCAUGCUUCUAGGCAGUAAGUAUACAGAGAAGUAUAGUCAGAUAAAGCCUCUGGAUUCAUGGAAUUUAUGGUGUUAUAGGGAACACAAUUAAUAAAUUAGAAUUACAUAGACACAUGAUUACUACAAAGGGGAAUAUAGACUGCUUGAGGAAUGAUUAGGAGAGCUAGUGUCAUCAAGAGAGCCUUAACUACUUACCCAUUGGUGUUUUCACGCAUGUGAGAUACAACUGAAUGUCCAGUAGGAGAUGACAAACUUGAGAACGAGUCCAAGAUAGACCACACUCCACUGAUGACCAGAGAAGCAAACUGGCCAGAUCAUAGAGAUCCUAAGCAGAAUCUUGGUGUUGUUCCAUACAGAAAUGGAGAAGAGUAUUAAACCAUAUUUAAGAAUAAUAAUAAUAAAAGAGGUAGGCUGAUGACAGCUGAAGAAGACUGUAUUUGCUGAGGAGCAGCAUGAUGGUAGAGAGGAGCAGAGCUCCUGAGGGAGACCUAAUGGUUCCUCUCCUUCCUGCACGGAGAUAAAGACUUAUAAUAAGCGUGCAUGUUCACCAUCUGGCUCUGUGCAUGUGGUCCUUAUGGAGGGGAAAGCAGCACAAUCUGUAAAUGAUCAGGAGCCAUGGCGCUCUCUCCAGAGAAUCCACGAUGCAAUCAAGGUGACAGAUGGCAUGGCCACUGCUGUGGCCUCAUGGAGAAGAUCAAAAUCACCUUCAAUAAACUCUGACUGAAAUGGGCAUGAGCACCUCAAAAAAGUCAGUUUGUCAGUCAAACUGCGACAGCAAGCUGCAUUGGGGAAACAUAGCGGCCAGCUCUCUGUUUUCAAUCGUUUCCGUCUGACUGGGCCUGAACUAUGAUCUUUCUCAAAUUGUCCUUUCUGUUUAGCUGAAGCAGGCCAGCAAAUUGCCAGAUUCAUUGCUUUAUUGAAGAAAAUUGAAAACACGAUGUCCUCAAUUCCGGGGACGCGCGACUGGCAGGUGCUGGGACACCCAAGCGCUGAGAGUAGAUCCCCGUGUCUUCCGCCCAAGUUUGCUCAACUUUAGGCAGAUUUUUGGAUAUGAAAAUAAAAUGCAAAUAUGUGCCUGGCCUGAAAAGAUCAGCUGGCAAUGGAUACGUGAAGGGUAUUAGAUGUCCAAUAAAUGUGUGUAGAAUAAACACAUGCUUGAAAGGAAAAGGAGGAAGGGAGGAAGAAGGAAAGAGACGAAGUCUCCGUGUUGUUGCUUCCAUGUAUUUUGACAGCAGGCUGCCUUGAUGAUAGAUUCGCUAUCCAUUUCCUUUUCUGUGCAUGUUUAUCGAAUAUAGAUUGCUGUGAACUUGAAGCCUGGGACAUAAGAUCAGUGAAAUACAGGUGUAACAUUUUGUCCUAAACAAAUUGUAUAGAAUUUGUAGAGGUCAACGAGUUCAGACAAAUUUCCGUUUUUGACCCCCUUCCUUCCACAGCUGAAACAUUUUUGAAAGGUCCAACUGCUCAUAAAACUAGAGGGGGAUGAGUAAAAGUUACCUGUAGUGGGAGAAAAAUACUGUACUGUCUUUUUGAGAGGUAAGGGCAGUGAUUUCAGGUCAAAGAUGAUGGAUCUUAAUGAAAGGACUCUCCCCCUCCCUCUCCCUCCUCCUCCCUUGGCAGAGUUCCACUGUUGUUCUUCCUCCCAAGCUCCAGGAAAUGUACAUUUCAAGCAAAAGUCGACUUUCCCAACCUUGUGGUUUCCCCAGAACCCUGUAUCUGUUCUUUGAUCCUGGUGUUUUAUAUUAUUAAGCCUGUGAGGAGAUCUCACAAUUCCAACAUCCCAUUGAUUUUCCUACUCGAGACCAUAAUCUUCUAGUUUGCAUACUUGCUUUAUUUAAAAUCCAAAUCCUGCUCCUGCCCCUGUCCCCAUACUCCAUGUUGUAAAUUAUUUGCUUGACAGCUGAGAAAUAUCUUACUAUUAGGUCCUGGAUUCUCAUAAUGGCUUUCUUUUCCCUCAUAGUUGCUUCUGAAUGCUAAUGUCCUGCUGUAGAGAUAUACAAACAACUGAAGGACUUCAGCUCUAAUCUGUGUACACAAAGCGAGAGAAACUAUGAAAAGGGGCUCAUAUUUUGAGUAACAGAAAUAGCAAGAACUUCAUAUAAGGACUGUCUUUUCACAGAGCAUGUAAGUGUAGCUGACUUGUUAUGUGUCACAGUUCCAUGUGGUCUCCUGGGAGCCAGGGACUAAAUUUAUUCAGGAGGAAAUAUCUAUGGAGUGCUGAACACCUAUUAGGUAUAGGCUGUGUCAGGAGCUGAGAAAUAAAACUUCAUAAAGAAAAGUAGGUAUCACACAGCACUUUUAUGGGCAGUCUCCCCUUGGGCUGGCUCUCUGCUGAGCCCGUUUGCAUUCUCAUCAAUAAUAGCUCUUGUGGAACACAGGACCCAGACGUGUGGGCUGGUGGGAGCAUGCUGUCCUGUCCCUGGAGACGCUGUGUGUAUUCUCCAUCCUGGCCUUUGGCUCUCUGGAAUGACAGGCUCUGUAAUAGACAUGUUCAUCAACACGGCCACAAGGAGGGGUGGCAGGAUGGGUCAUUUCUGUCUAUCGGUAGCAGUUUCUUCCCCCCAGACUCCAGCUGCUCACAUGGAGUUAUGCUUCAGAAAGGCAAAUGGGUCUAAUCCUUUCCUUAAGGAAAGGCCCCAUAAUCAUAUGGGGAAAUUCAGCAGGGGCCAGAAGGUUGAAGUAGCCUACACUGGAACACGAAUGUUGCAAGGCAACCAGCAGGAAAUUUAGUAAUCAGAGCUUGGCCUAAAUUCAGAUAAUUACGUUCAAGUUCUCUCUGGCAUGCAGUGUCACCUGAUCGUAUGCAAAUUGUGUAACCAUAUAUCAUUACUCUCUUUUAUGUCCUAUCAUUCCUAAAUAAUAAAUUGCUUAGAGAAAGUUUCUUGUGGUAAUUUGCAAAUGUGAGUCUGAAAGCAGAGCUUUUCCUUUAUAAUGCUGCACAUAUACCCUUGCUCUCUCGGCCCGUGGGUGCGGCAGGUAAGAAGAUAUGCAGAUCUUCAGAUCCCACAGGCUCUGAAACUCACAAGGAGGAUGGCUUGUGGUCAGAAUAUGGACAGUAGCUGCAACAUGGACUGAAUAAUUUUUAAUCAUGGAGAGUGCUUUUUAUUUUAAUGUUUUGAAAGAUUGACACAAUGCUGAAAGGAGAGGCUACACAGAAAUUUUAAAAGGUGCACACAAGAAGAUAAGCAAUCUAUUAAAAACUCAGAUUUUGAAAGCAUGCCAUUGGCCUGAAAUGGCCUUGGGGUAACAGUAAUAAUGAAUGGUGAUUUCCCAAGUUCUCUGUGCACCAAGCCGUUUGGACUUCUCAAGAGGACAAUGCUGUCUUCUUUCAAAAGAGGGAGUAGAUGGCUUGCUACCAGUAAAACAGCUCAGACAUAGCUCUACUGAUUUGGGAACAAAGAAAUGGAAUGUGGUUUUGUGUGUGUAGGAUGUCAUCAUAUGAGCUCACACCAGCUCUAAAUUGGGUAUUUGGAGGCUACUACAUCUUUUGGUCAGAUUUCAAAUCAAACCCUCAAUGUCUGCAUUUUUCUGUCCAUGCUUCUCUGAACAAGAAUGAUGGUGAAUGAGGAUGCCACCCUGUACCUCAAAUGUUUCUCAAGCUGCUGGUGUGUUUUGGUUCAGCUUUCAUGAUUUUUUAUACCAGUUUGUGACUUAAAAAAAACUCUCAUCAAAAUAUUUGUUAUAGUAUGAUGUUGUGCUUAGAAAGGUUAAUAAACGUUUUACAGAACACA